GUGCUUGCUUUGGCAGCACAUUUAGUAUAAAACUGGAAUGAUACAAUGAUUAGCAUGGGCCCUGUGCAAAGACGACACAAAAGUUCAUAAGCAUUCCAUAUUAAA